rnacentral:rRNA from 1 species
CCUACGGGGGGCUGCAGUGGGGAAUAUUGCACAAUGGGCGCAAGCCUGAUGCAGCGACGCCGCGUGGGGGAUGACGGCCUUCGGGUUGUAAACCUCUUUCACCAUCGACGAAGCCUUCGGGUGACGGUAGGUGGAGAAGAAGCACCGGCCAACUACGUGCCAGCAGCCGCGGUAAUACGUAGGGUGCGAGCGUUGUCCGGAAUUACUGGGCGUAAAGAGCUCGUAGGUGGUUUGUCGCGUUGUUCGUGAAAUGCCACAGCUUAACUGUGGGCGUGCGGGCGAUACGGGCAGACUGGAGUACUGCAGGGGAGACUGGAAUUCCUGGUGUAGCGGUGGAAUGCGCAGAUAUCAGGAGGAACACCGGUGGCGAAGGCGGGUCUCUGGGCAGUAACUGACGCUGAGGA